GCCCCCAUGGCCUAGUGGAAAGGCGUUGGAUUCCGAAUCCAGAGACCCGGGUUCAAACCCCGGUGGGGGUG